CCCCUCUCAGGGUCACAUCUGGGGAGUUUCCAGUACUCUCCCAGUCUCGACUAUGGGAGGGAGAGUCAAGCAGAGGCCUAGACAUUCUACUCCUAGCUUGGGCAGUAGCUAGCGAGUGGAAAGCAAUCUGCUACAAGU
rnacentral:snoRNA from 2 species